GUCACCCAGGCUGGAGUGCAAUGGUGUGAUCUCAGCUCACUGCAACUUCUGCUUCCUGGGUUCAAGCGAUUCUCCUGCCUCUGCCUCCUGAGUAGCUGGGAUUUCAGGCGUGCACCACCACGGCUGACUAAUUUUUGUAUUUUUAGUAGAGACGAGUUUCACCAUGUUGGCCAAGCUGGUCUCGAAUUCCUGACCUCAUGAUCCACCUGCCUCAGCCUCCCAAAGUGCUGGGAUUACAGGUGUGAGCCACCGUGCCAAGCCUGGAGGUUAACUUUAAUCAGAAGCCAUAAGUGAGAGAGGACAUUUCAAAUUCAGUCAGACAUGACCUUUUCUUCCUGGGUCACUCCCUUGCAGCUACCCGUAUCUUUCUUAGGACACUUCUGGAAUUAUAUAAAAGUAUAGCCAUUUGUGUGCAUGCCUUCUAGGCCACAGGCUUAGUGAAGGUGGGAAUCAUUUGCGUCUAUAUUCUCGACAAUGACCAGCCUAGUUCUUUACGCUUUGGAAAUGUCCAAUGCAUGUUUGCUGAAUGAAUCGAUGAGGCAUGCGGACUUUUGAGGGACACAGAAAUUACAAGAUGGGUAAUAGAAGAAGGAAGUGAAGAAUAAGUGCAGGAGAUGGGGGAGAGUGGCAGAUAUUACCUGCUUGCCUUUUCCUUUCACCCAGAAGAGGUGUUAGAGCAGUCGGAGGAAAUGGACAUACUUUGGAAGACAGAGACCUGGUAAUCCCUUUUCACCCAAGAAGAACCAAGCCCUGGAUGAAUGGAUGAGCAGCUCACGUUUUUCUGCCCCCCACCCCCAGUCUUUCUGAGACUGACUUUGUCCUAGGAAUUGUUCGUCCCUCUGGAAGCUAGUCUGGUAUGUGGAUGUUCCUUAGAGCCCUGGUGAUAGGGAAUUAGGAAGUAAGUGCUUGAACUGAAGCCCUUUUGUCCUAAUUCACUGGUAUCUGGGGCAAAAGCUUGCCCUCUCUGUGAAAAUGAAAUGAAAAUCUUUUCAUUUUCUGGGAGCUCAAGGUCAGACCCUGGCACAGUAGGGACCCAAUCCGUGGGCUGUUCCUGAACCCCUACCCCAGACCAUUGCCCUGGAUGGCUCUUGAAGCUGGUGGCAAGAGAGAACUGAGAGUUCUCUAAGGAAAAGAGCAGCCAGGUUGCUCCUUUGUUUUAAAUUAUUUAGCUGCACCAAAUUUUCAGAUUUGUGGCAACAACAACUCUAUUUAAAAACUCCAGGCACAUGAUGGAUGAGCUCAAUGUUUUCAGUCAGUUCCCAGCUUCCAGCCCACCCUACGGGAAUCUUCUAAGAGUUACUUGGGCUUGCCUGGGUCAGCCUCCAACUAUUGGGACCAGCUAAAGUGCAAGAGCUACACAAUGCCUAUCAUGAUAUUUGGCGUAUGUUUUUCAUAUAAAUGAAUUUCAUCAAGUCCCAUACACCACCUCCAAGAGAAAAAAGAUACUCAACUUAGGAAGUCAGAACUGGGAUGUUUGCAUAGAAGUCACGCUUUUUGUAUAGAUGGGUUGUGUGAGUUUAUUUCCAUGGACUUCUGCCUGUGAAAUAGGAAUUCAGAGACCUGGAGGGAGAAGACACAUGGACUGUCAGAUCUAGAGACCUGCUUCCUUCAAUAGCUGAUUUUCUUUCAUUUGUGUCAGAAACAGGCAGCAUGGCACAGAGCCAUGCACCUAAAACUUUAUUGUGCAUAUUUAUUCCUAGAGAUCUUGUUAAAAUGCAGAUUCAGAUUCAGCCAAUCUAGGGUCAGGGCUUUCUAUUGUAAUAAGUUCCAAGGUAAUGCCAAUGCUGCUGGUCCAUGGACUGCACACUUUGAUGAGAAGUUUAGUAAGGAUAUAGAGGAAAGAAUACUACACGUGUAGUAGUAAUUUCUGGCUUUUAGUAUCAGCUCUGCCAUUUACCAGCUUGCUUUCUUGGACAAGUCAUUUUUCCUCUCUGGAUUUUAGUUUCCUCAAAUAUAAGCUGGGUGAUAGAGGAGGAGGUUGGGUUAGGUUAUUUCAAAGCUUGCAUUCAUAGACUCUUCAAAGUGAUGUUUUGAUUAAAAAACUCCACCUAUAGGAUCACGUACAGCUUUUCAAAGGACUAGCAGGUGAACUGGCAUUAUCAAAGCAGAAAAUAUAGGGGCUGGAGCAGGAAGGCAUGGCAAAGUCAGAGAAAAGGAAGGUGAGCCAUAAUAACUUCUUAUGGCAAAUAUAACACUUUGAUUAUUUCAGAGUGAUGGAUUUUGAAUUAAAACUGUUAUCCUGAGAGAGGCUACUAUUUUUCCCAACAACUAUCUUAGGGGGAGACCUGCAUUACUGAAAACUGAGUUGCAUAAGAAACUUGAGUGAAGGAAGCAAUGGAUAUGUUAGUGCUUUGAAAUAAGCAAAUGCUUACAGGGGCUGUGAGGGAAUCAUGGCUGGAGGGAAGCUUUCUGGAGCCAUGAGGGAGUCUGAUUUGAAAACAGCAGUUCAUCUCUGCUGCAGACCAUUUAUCUAAUUUCAGACAAAUUGGCCAGAAAUUCAGGUAUUUGGCCACUGCUAGCAGAUGUAACAGGGAGAAAUGCAGUCUCCUACAAGGGUUAGGAGAGCAAGGUGCCAGGGGUCACCCAGGGGCAUAAAUAGGCAAGGAGAAGGAGGGGGUGAAAAAGGAACACAGAUGAUGUAAGUGAAUGAAUGAAGCUUCUGACCAUCUGAGCCUCUGGCGGCAGCCCUUCCCCAAGAGCUCACGCAUCUCUGUUUUGAGCAGGAAACAGGAUCAGACAGAAAGGGCUCCCCAGACUCACAGAUACAAGCUAGUUUCUCAUUAAGUCCCAAAGCAAAGUCAGGGGAGUGGAGAAAACUCCUGGUGCUGGCGCCUCUUCCAACGUUAGGUUGAGGAAUACAGGAGAUGUUUAC
rnacentral:lncRNA from 1 species